rnacentral:rRNA from 5 species
UGAGGGGGGCUGCUCCUAGUACGAGAGGACCGGAGUGGACGCAUCACUGGUGUUCGGGUUGUCAUGCCAAUGGCACUGCCCGGUAGCUAAAUGCGGAAAAGAUAAGUGCUGAAAGCAUCUAAGCACGAAACUUGCCCCGAGAUGAGUCUUCCCUGAGACUUUGAGUCUCCUGAAGGAACGUUAAAGACGAUGACGUUGAUAGGCCGGGUGUGUAAGCGCAGCGAUGCGUUGAGCUAACCGGUACUAAUGAACCGUGAGGCUUAACCUUACAACGCCGAAG